GACGAACGCUGGCGGCGUGCUUAACACAUGCAAGUCGAACGGUGAAGCGCCUUCCUUUUUGGUGGGUGUGGAUGAGUGGCGAACGGGUGAGUAACACGUGAGUAACCUGCCCCCUUCUUCUGGAUAACCGCAUGAAAGUGUGGCUAAUACGGGAUAUUCUGGGUCUGUCGCAUGAUGGGUCUGGGAAAGAUAUUGUUUCGGUGGGGGAUGGGCUCGCGGCCUAUCAGCUUGUUGGUGGGGUGAUGGCCUACCAAGGCGGUGACGGGUAGCCGGCCUGAGAGGGUGGACGGUCACACUGGGACUGAGACACGGCCCAGACUCCUACGGGCGGCAGCAGUGGGGAAUAUUGCACAAUGGGCGCAAGCCUGAUGCAGCGCCGCCGCGUGAGGGAUGGAGGCCUUCGGGUUGUGAACCUCUUUCGCCAGUGAAGCAGGCCUGCCUCGUUUGUGGGUGGGUUGACGGUAGCUGGAUAAGAAGCGCCGGCUAACUACGUG
rnacentral:rRNA from 1 species